AACUUCAAUGAUGAUUUAUAUUCCGCCCCAGUCUGAAUUUUUUGAAGAUUGGUUAUAACUGAUGUGUA